rnacentral:tRNA from 4 species
UGGGGUGUGGCCAAGCGGUAAGGCACCGGUUUUUGGUAUCGGCAUUCGCAGGUUCGAAUCCUGCCACCCCAGCCA